GAUGAACGCUGGCGGCGUGCCUAAUACAUGCAAGUCGAGCGAACGGACGAGAAGCUUGCUUCUCUGAUGUUAGCGGCGGACGGGUGAGUAACACGUGGAUAACCUACCUAUAAGACUGGGAUAACUUCGGGAAACCGGAGCUAAUACCGGAUAAUAUUUUGAACCGCAUGGUUCAAAAGUGAAAGACGGUCUUGCUGUCACUUAUAGAUGGAUCCGCGCUGCAUUAGCUAGUUGGUAAGGUAACGGCUUACCAAGGCAACGAUGCAUAGCCGACCUGAGAGAGUGAUCGGCCACACUGGAACUGAGACACGGUCCAGACUCCUACGGGAGGCAGCAGUAGGGAAUCUUACGCAAUGGGCGAAAGCCUGACGGAACAACGCCGCGUGAGUGAUGGAGGUCUUCGGAUCGUAAAACUCUGUUAUUAGGGAAGAACAUAUGUGUAAGUAACUGUGCACAUCUUGACGGUACCUAAUCAGAAAGCCACGGCUAACUACGUG
rnacentral:rRNA from 1 species